AAGUCGUAACAAGGUUUCCGUAGGUGAACCUGCGGAAGGAUCAUUAUCAUCCUUUUUUUUUGGUUAUUGGCAACAGUAACCAAAAAAAUAUAAACCAAUCGUGAACCGUACUGCCUCCAAUGAAGACUUCUUCUACAAAUGUCAUUUUUUCCUUUGGUACGCCCAAGGAGAGAAAGAGCACAAUUGCAGAAAAAUAUUGAGCAAUGAUUGGAAAAUGUUUUUCCAUCAUUACAGCCUCUCUUCAUUGGUUGUAUUUCUUUUCUUUAUUUUUACCAUUUGAACAACUCACUUCAAAAACAAUUGAACUGAAUUGUUCUCAUUUGUUGUUUUUCGCUCAGGCGAAAGACCAUUGAGAAUUACAAAUGUAUAAAAAGAAAAAAACAAAAAACAACUCUUAGCAACGGAUAUCUUGGUUCUC
rnacentral:misc_RNA from 1 species